GUGGUGCCCUCCAACGACCUCAACUUGUCUGUAAGCUGCUAUCCGUCGAUGAGAUUCAGAUCAGAUGGUGCGAUUUUUUUAGAAAUGCUCUGCUUCUGAGCAACUUGAGUUGUUGUCUUAUAUUUCUUUACAGCAUAAUUCUCCAAUCUAGGAUAUCAGUCAAGGAGUGGUGCCUCGGUUCAUUGAGUUUCUCAUGUGUUCCUACUCUGUGAUCCAAGAGGUCUCCAUAGUAUGCCAUCAAUUAUGCAAAAGUUUACUAAAAGUAUGUUUGAGUUAGCCAAUCUUUGGGACCCGGGAUGAAGCUGGAUGCUCAUGGAGGUGUCUUUUCUCCUAAAAUUUGGCACCGAGUAAUGAAGAUACUACAUUUGUAAGCUGUAAGGUGGUGCCCUCCAACGACCUCAACUUGCAGCUAUCUGUAAGCUACUAUCCGUCGAUGAGAUUCAGAUCAGAUGGUGCGAUUUUUUUCAGAAAUGCGCUGCUUCUGAGCAACUUGAGUUGUUGUCUUAUAUUUCUUUACAGCGUAAUUCUCCAAUCUAGGAUAUCAGCCAAGGAGUGGUGCCUCGGUUCAUUGAGUUUCUCAUGUGUAAGGACCAUUCGUCAUUUGUUCUGUAAGAAUAUUUGAAUUGCAAGUCCUGCUCAUAGUAGAGGCAAGUGGAUCUUUUGUUAUUCAAGUGAUCAAUUAGCUUUGCAUUGGGCUUGUUAUUUGAA